UGAGGGAAUAUUGGGUCAAUGGGCGAGAGCCUGAACCAGCCAAGUCGCGUGAAGGAUGAAGGUUCUAUGGAUUGUAAACUUCUUUUAUUCGAGGGUAAAGUGAGGUACGUGUACCUUAUUGCAAGUAUCGAAUGAAUAAGCAUCGGCUAAUUCCGUGCCAGCAGCCGCGGUAGUACGGAAGAUGCGAGCGUUAUCCGGAUUUAUUGGGUUUAAAGGGAGCGUAGGCGGGAUGGUAAGUCAGCGGUCAAAUGUCCGUGCCCAACGCGGUCAUGCCGUUGAUACUGCCGUUCUUGAAUACACACAAGGGAGAUGGAAUUCGUUGUGUAGCGGUGAAAUGCUUAGAUAUGACGAAGA
rnacentral:rRNA from 1 species